rfam:Deinococcus swuensis strain DY59, complete genome.
GCGGGGGAACGUUCGGCCGCGCCGCCCGCUCUUUCGGGAGUGGGGGUGAGGAAAGUCCGGGCACCGCAGGGCAGGAUGCCAGCUAACGGCUGGUCGGCGAGUCAAGUGCCCGCGUCGCGCGCCUGCGCGUGGGUGGCGGCGAAGCCGAAGGACAGUGCCACAGAAACCAGACCGCCAGCAUCCAUUCAAGGCCGGGCGUGGGCCGGAAGCUGGUCAGGGUGAAACGGUGCGGUAAGAGCGCACCAGGCCGCAGGGAGACCUCGCGGCGUCUGGUAAACCCCAUCCGGUGCAAGACCCGAUAGCGCGCGAGGAACGGCCCGUUCCAGUGACCGCCAGGAUGGUCGCAACGAGGCGCGGCGGCGACGCCCGCCCCAGAGAGAUGGCCGAACAGUCACCCUCAGAAGUGAUGGACAGAACCCGGCUUACAGUUCCCCCGCACCA